rnacentral:rRNA from 1 species
UGAGGAACAUGACCUUCGGCGGGGGAUAGCCGGCCCAACGGCCGGGUAAUACCGCGUACGACCACUCGGGGACAUCCCUAGGUGGUGAAAGCAGCAAUGCGCCGAUGGAGUGCCUCGCGGCCUAUCAGCUAGUUGGUGAGGUAACGGCUCACCAAGGCGACGACGGGUAGCUGGUCUGAGAGGAUGGCCAGCCACAUUGGGACUGAGACACGGUCCAGACUCCUACGGGAGCAG